AGCGAACGCUGGCGGCAGGCUUAACACAUGCAAGUCGAGCGGGCAUCCUUGUGGUGUCAGCGGCAGACGGGUGAGUAACGCGUGGGAACGUGCCCUUCGGUUCGGAAUAACUCAGGGAAACUUGAGCUAAUACCGGAUACGUGCGAGAGCAGAAAGGUUUAUCUGCCGAAGGAUCGGCCCGCGUCUGAUUAGCUAGUUGGUGAGGUUAUGGCCCACCAAGGCGACGAUCAGUAGCUGGUCUGAGAGGAUGAUCAGCCACACUGGGACUGAGACACGGCCCAGACUCCUACGGGAGGCAGCAGUGGGGAAUAUUGGACAAUGGGGGCAACCCUGAUCCAGCCAUGCCGCGUGAGUGAUGACGGCCUUAGGGUUGUAAAGCUCUUUUCUUCGGGACGAUAAUGACGGUACCGGAGGAAUAAGCCCCGGCUAACUUCGUG
rnacentral:rRNA from 1 species